rnacentral:rRNA from 1 species
GAGUNUUAUNNNNNCUCAGUUUUNAACGGNGGGCNGCACGCCUAACACACGCAAGUGGGGNGGGNAGCACAGANAGCUUNNCCUUGGGUGACGAGUGGCGGACGGGUGAGUAAUGUCUGGGGAUCUGCCCGAUAGAGGGGGAUAACCACUGGAAACGGUGGCUAAUACCGCAUAACGUCGCAAGACCAAAGAGGGGGACCUUCGGGCCUCUCACUAUCGGAUGAACCCAGAUGGGAUUAGCUAGUAGGCGGGGUAAUGGCCCACCUAGGCGACGAUCCCUAGCUGGUCUGAGAGGAUGACCAGCCACACUGGAACUGAGACACGGUCCAGACUCCUACGGGAGGCAGCAGUGGGGAAUAUUGCACAAUGGGCGCAAGCCUGAUGCAGCCAUGCCGCGUGUAUGAAGAAGGCCUUCGGGUUGUAAAGUACUUUCANCGGGGAGGAAGGCGAUGUGGUUAAUAACCGCGUCGAUUGACGUUACCCGCAGAAGAAGCACCGGCUAACUCCGUGCCAGCAGCCGCGGUAAUACGGAGGGUGCAAGCGUUAAUCGGAAUUACUGGGCGUAAAGCGCACGCAGGCGGUCUGUUAAGUCAGAUGUGAAAUCCCCGGGCUUAACCUGGGAACUGCAUUUGAAACUGGCAGGCUUGAGUCUUGUAGAGGGGGGUAGAAUUCCAGGUGUAGCGGUGAAAUGCGUAGAGAUCUGGAGGAAUACCGGUGGCGAAGGCGGCCCCC